rnacentral:rRNA from 1 species
UACGAAGGGGGCUAGCGGUGUUCGGAAUUACUGGGCGUAAAGCGCACGUAGGCGGAUUUGUAAGUCAGGGGUGAGAUCCCGGGGCUCAACCUCGGAACUGCCUUUGAUACUGCAAGUCUUGAGUCCGAGAGAGGUGAGUGGAAUUCCUAGUGUAGAGGUGAAAUUCGUAGAUAUUAGGAAGAACACCAGUGGCGAAGGCGGCUCACUGGCUCGGUACUGACGCUGAGGUGCGAAAGCGUGGGGAGCAAACAGG